UUUGACCUACGGGUGGCAGCAGUGGGUUAUAUUUUACAAUGGGGGGAACCCUGAUCCAGCGACGCCGCGUGAGUGAAGAAGUAUUUCGGUAUGUAAAGCUCUGUCAGCAGGGAAGAAAGCAAUGACGGUACCUGACCAAGAAGCCCCGGCUAACUACGUGCCAGCAGCCGCGGUAAUACGUAGGGGGCAAGCGUUAUCCGGAAUUACUGGGUGUAAAGGGAGCGUAGACGGCUGUGCAAGUCUGGAGUGAAAGGCGGGGGCCCAACCCCCGGACUGCUCUGGAAACUGUAUGGCUGGAGUGCAGG
rnacentral:rRNA from 1 species